GCUGCUGUUUAUGCUCAUGCUGUGUUGUUCUUAGGUAAUUUCCCUUGGAUGGUUUUUGUGCUGCAGACAAGUAACAAAACCUUUGAACUGCAGAGAGGAAUAUGAAGGGUUUGAAACAGCCUGCUGAAGUCUUUGAGAGAGCCUGGAGAGUCCAUGCAAAAAAACUUGAGGGAAUGAUGGGACCUGCAAAAAAAACCACUCAUUUCAUUUGAGAUGGGGAAAGAGGAGAAACCUACAGGUGGAGGAGAGAAAGUAAACCAGAGGAUUACAGUGGUAGAGAAGCAGUGCCCUGCCUGAUUUUGGUGAUGCAACAGGAGCCGGUGAAGAUAACAUUGCUUUGGUAGAGAGCUGGUUUUCAAAUAUUACCUACAGGACAAAUCCUAUUGAAGAGGUUAAAUUUUCCCAGACAGCUGGAGCUUGUGUGAUAUUUUGCAGUGUUUCAUAUAUUCUGAAUAGUGGAUAUCAUUCAAGUUCUGAAAAUCUAGAGGUAAAUAUCUUCCCUUUAUUCCUUCCAUCUUAUAUCUUCGAUAUCUUCAU
rnacentral:lncRNA from 1 species